rnacentral:rRNA from 1 species
GAUGAACGCUGGCGGCGUGCCUAAUACAUGCAAGUCGAGCGAACAGAUGAGGAGCUUGCUCCUCUGACGUUAGCGGCGGACGGGUGAGUAACACGUGGAUAACCUACCUAUAAGACUGGGAUAACUUCGGGAAACCGGGGCUAAUACCGGAUAAUAUAUUGAACCGCAUGGUUCAAUAGUGAAAGACGGUUUUGCUGUCACUUAUAGAUGGAUCCGCGCCGCAUUAGCUAGUUGGUAAGGUAACGGCUUACCAAGGCAACGAUGCGUAGCCGACCUGAGAGGUGAAUGCGACACCAGAGAAGUGAGAAACGGCCAAGCACCAUAGGGGAGGGAAGGGAGGGGAAUCUUCCGAAAGGGGGGAAGACUGGACGGAACAACGCCGGGGAGGGGAAGAGGUUCUUCGGAUCGUAAAACCUUUUUAUAAGGGAAAAAAAAAGUUGUAAGAAACGAGGCACGUUUGAAGGGGACUAAAAAAGAAAACCAAGGAGAAAUAGGG